UGGGUUUCUUCGGAAUGAGCAAGUGAUCACUGCAAAUCAAGAAAUUGAUGGCUAAGCAUAAAGCAACCUCAAAAACUAACAAGUUCAUACACGAUACUGUUUUUUUCUAAUGUACAAGUUUGGAAUUCACAAUUAGAACAGCCUCAAAUAACCAAAGCGGCAUUCAUAUAUAAGAAAAUGAACACAAGCUAAUCAGAACCCUUAUUUUCCAGAUUCGGAACUCUCAAGAAUCACAAGAACAAAAUCAGAAAAAAGUCGAAAUGAUAAGAAAAAACAUAUAAAGUUACAGUUCAACUAAUCAUCACUGGAACCUACAAGUAAUGAAUACAUGCAAAUCAUAAACCCAAAGUUUUAAGAUUUAGAGCUUUUACGAUUCAUUAACUAUAAGCAAAAGUUCUUUUUUUUUUUUAAAUGAUCUGACACAAUAGAAAGAGACUAAUAAGAUUAAAGAA
rnacentral:misc_RNA from 1 species